GAAACUACGAGACAUUGCGACCCUCGCGGUAAAUAAACAUACAAAGCUGUAAAGAAUGUUUGCAUAGCUUUUGUAUUACGUCGUUCGCUCCGGUUCAUUUGACGUUUUGAAAGACAAUGGCUCUGAAACAUGUGAUUAUAGGCGGUGGUACCGGCUACAUUGGCUCUGCACUUGCAUUUGCUUUAAGAGCUGAAGGAGCAACUGUCAGUAUUAUUUCUCGCAAAGCUAAAGGGCCUAAUCAAGUUUCUUGGGAAGAUGUGAAGAAAAACGGACUUCCAAAGGACACAACCGCUGUGAUAAACGUUGCAGGUCAAAACAUCUUGGAUCCCACCAAACGAUGGGGCAAAGACUUCAAGACAGAGGUUUGGGACAGUCGAGUGAACACCACCAGGGCCCUGGCAGAAGCGGUAAAGAAUUCUGGAGCUGAGGUAUUCGCGACUGUUUCUGGAGUGGCUUACUACAAGCCGAAUGACAAAGAAUGGACGGAGGAUGACAAGUGUGAAAAGUAUGAUUACCUGUCAGAACUGUGCCAUGAGUGGGAGGCAGCUGCAGAUCUACCAGCAGACAGUAAAUGCAGGAGAGUGACAGUUCGUUCUGGAGUGGUUUUGGGAAGAACUGGCGGAAUGAUCAAGCAAGCUUUCAUUCCUUUUUUUCUGGGUCUUGGCGGACCUAUAGGAGUAGGCACACAACCAAUGCCUUGGAUACAUAUUGCAGACUUGGUAAAUUUAUUCAAGUUCUCUGUUAAAGAGACCAAAGUUCGUGGAAUUUUAAAUGGAGUUGCACCUGAGAUUAUUACAAACAAAGAAUUUACAGCAGAGUUUGCGAAAGCUUUGAAGAGGCCAGCUAUAAUUCCUCUUCCAGAAUUUGUGAUUAACUUAAUUUUUGGAGGAGAACGAGCAAAGGUAUAUUUUAACAGAGAAGUGCUGAUGAGAAGUGGUAUAGGAAAAAAAUAUCCACAGACUUUCUUAGGAGAGCAAGUUUCCUGGGGGUACUUUACGCUAAAAGUUAUCUUUCAUACCCCCGACAGAUUGUUCUUGAAGGACAGAAAGUGAAGCCAAAGCGAGUACUGGACUAUGGAUUUCAGUACAAAUACCCAACAAUUACGGAGGCAUGCAAACAAUUUUCUGUUCUCUCUCCAAAAACUGCAUAUUGAGCUCUGAGUAUUUCUGCUUCCCUCAUCCCGACAAGAUCAUUACUAACAUGGGGGGGAGCCUCUACAUUAGUGUAUCCUUUGCCAAAACAGUGAACAAGUGCAUGGAGACGACGUGCGCGGUGUUGUGUACUGUGUGUUCCCGCCUGUAGCACACAGAUGCAGAGAUCAUGAUCUCUGACAAAUGUGCCAAUUCAGUUUCAAGGUCCACCAUAGGAAAAAUUUAUAGAGAAGAGGAAACUCAUGCGUCAAGUUGACCUGUACUGCUGUACGGACCAUCGGUAAAACAAACACUAGCAAUUCAUCGACAG